GUAAAGAUGCUCGUUACGCGCAGCGGGACGGAAAGACCCCGAGACCUUUACUAUAGUUUGGUAUUGGUGUUCGGUGCGGCUUGUGUAGGAUAGGUGGGAGACUGUGAAGCGGACACGCCAGUGUUCGUGGAGUCGUUGUUGAAAUACCACUCUGGUCGCUCUGGAUAUCUAACUUCGGCCCGUGAUCCGGGUCAGGGACAGUGCCUGAUGGGUAGUUUAACUGGGGCGGUUGCCUCCUAAAGAGUAACGGAGGCGCGCGAUGGUAGGCUCAGACCGGUCGGACAUCGGUCGUUGAGUGCAAUGGCAUAAGCCUGCCUGACUGUGAGAUCGACAGAUCGAACAGAGACGAAAGUCGGUCAUAGUGAUCCGGUGGUCCCGAGUGGAAGGGCCAUCGCUCAACGGAUAAAAGGUACGCCGGGGAUAACAGGCUGAUGAUUCCCAAG
rnacentral:rRNA from 14 species